CCGGCGAUUGGGCCGGCGGUCGUCCGUUGGCCUUCAAAAGCUGACGGGGCUCGGCGGCGUCUUUACUUUGAAAAAAUUAGGGUGCUCAGAACAGGCUUGAGCCUGCAUAUUCGCGCAUGGAAUAAUGGAAUAGGACCUCGGUUCUAUUCUGCUGGUUUUCGGAUCCCGAGGUAAUGAUUGAGAGGGGCAGACGGGGGCAUUCGUAUUGCGGCGCUAGAGGUGAAAUUCUUGGACCGCCGCAAGACGGACUACUGCGAAAGCAUUUGCCAAGAAUGUUUUCAUUAAUCAAGAACGAAAGUUAGAGGUUCGAAGGCGAUCAGAUACCGCCCUAGUUCUAACCAUAAACGAUGCCGACCAGCGAUCCGCCCGAGUUCUUCGUACGUCUCGGCGGGCAGCUUCUGGGAAACCAAAGUUUUUGGGUUCCGGGGGAAGUAUGGUUGCAAAGCUGAAACUUGAAGGAAUUGACGGAAGGGCACCACAAGGAGUGGAGCCUGCGGCUUAAUUUGACACAACACGGGAAAACUUACCCGGCCCGGACACCGGAAGGAUUGACAGAUUAAUAGCUCUUUCUUGAUUCGGUGGGUGGUGGUGCAUGGCCGUUCUUAGUUGGUGGAGUGAUUUGUCUGGUUAAUUCCGAUAACGAACGAGACUCCAGCCUGCUAAAUAGACCCACGGUCCGCAGUACCGUGAGCGGGUCUUCUUAGAGGGACGGGCGGCUCUUAGCCGCAUGAAACGGAGCGAUAACAGGUCUGUGAUGCCCUUAGAUGUCCGGGGCCGCACGCGCGCUACACUGAAGGGAUCAGAACGCGUUUCCCCUCCCCCGAGAGGGCUGGGAAACCGUGUGAACCCCCUUCGUGCUAGGGAUAGGGGAUUGUAAUUGUUCCCCUCGAACGAGGAAUUCCUAGUAAACGCGAGUCAUCAGCUCGCGUUGAUUACGUCCCUGCCCUUUGUACACACCGCCCGUCGCUACUACCGAUCGAAUGAUUUAGUGAGGUCUUCGGACCGGUCCGGCGGAGGGCCCCGGCCAUUCUCCGGACUCGGGAAGAUGCCCGAACUUGGUCAUUUAGAGGAAGUAAAAGUCGUAAUGAUCCUGCCGCUGGUUCACCAACGGCAA
rnacentral:rRNA from 1 species